GAGGCGCCCCCAUCGCCGCGUUGACAGAGCGGGGAGAGCCGAUGCUGGUCCGCACCUCGGCGCCUUUCCGUGGCAGCGUCUCCUGCUCAGGUCUCCUUCUGCGUGGAUGACCGGAGCUGAAGUCUCGCGUCUGCUGCGCACUCAGUAUGCGGCCGCUACGCUGCGGGAAGAGAAGGAGACAGCGCACGGCGUGCCCUCCUCUUUUUCGGGAGGGAUGGUUCGCCGCGCGGGAGGCGCGCCAAGGAGGCGCUCGGCGGCCGCGGCUGCUGAGGGAGCUGCGGUGUGGGGUUGUGGUUAUUGGCAGUGCCUGACUUCGAAAUCGGGCGUUUACCUCUAAUGAAAGCAGUGGAAGUUGGUCAGUGGCCGGAGCAUGCACCAACAUGACUAAAAGAUGUCCCAAGAGCAUGGUUUCCAGUGUGUUUUGCUGGAAGUUCGGGAUCUCCCUGUGUGGUGAAAGUCUCUGAGCAUGAGAAGGGCAUGUGGGAAGAAGCCAAGUGCUGAUUGCAGGGCUGAGAAAAUAUAACUAAUCUUCAGUGAAGUGAUGAAACUCCUCCAGGUUGGCCAUAAUGCUCUUGAAAGUAAUAAAAUUAGAAAGUUUCAUCAAUGAAAUGUGAGAAUCUGCUUGAGCAACACAGAUGCACUGAAUCCUUUACCACUGCUGCUGCUAGGAAGUGAGCCUGUGAAAUCCAUCCGCACCUUCUGCACCCUAGGCACUGGGGACUUUUGCAGGGCUGAAGAGUAAGGAAGUAUUGUUAGAACCAGCCUGAGAGCAAUGCCUGUCCAUUGAAACACUCCUAAGAAACAAAAAACUGUUUGAAAGAUGGACUAUUAAGUCUUCAUGUAGUAAGACAAAGUGCAUUUAACUGUAUUGUGGCAGUGUCUGGUAAUGUUUGUAUAGACAAAAAAUUGAAGAUUAAUGUUUCUGUUCUCAGAAUUUCUGUCUUUCCCAAGCCUUAGUAACAGUUGCUUCUUUUAGAGAGUUUGGACUUCCUUUGUGUUAUUGUUGGGAUACCAAUGCACUCCUGUGGAUGAAACAAAGCCCAGGAGUGAGUUGGGAUGUGAUGACUUAAACCAUGGUCUCCUGUAGUAUUUGAAGAUAGGGUUGGCUGAGAUUUAUAUUGCAGUGAGCAAAAGUAGAAAUUUUAAAAGUAGAAGUUCAGCAAACCUGGCUUUAAAAUGAGUAGGAAAGAUGUUUAUCCAACAUGGAGAAUGGCAAGCUUGGUUUAUUAUCACCUUGACCAGCUACAUCAUGUGGUACUUCAGCAUAACUUAGAGUGAAAUACUCUUGAGAUAAUUGGGAUUGCUGCUUAUUUUUCUAGGAAGACUUAACAUAGUUUAUCAGAAGAACAAAUGUUUAAAUUGUGUAUCUUGCAAUGUGUGAUUUUUCAGUACUGAAUGUUACUAAUUCUAAGUGUAAGGUUGUUUUUAGUUUGUCAAGAGAGAAGGGGGUUUAGACAAGAGUAAUUAAUUUUUAGAGGUCCAGCUUGUAAUUAUGGGAUAUACUUGAAAGUUUAGGGUUUUUACUAGGGAUUACAUUCCCUGAAGAUACCAUCUGUUCAGGAGUUCUGCUUAUGGGCCUUUGUUCUUGAACUGUAAGACCAACAGGAGUAGCUUUUUAAAACAUUAAAAAAAAAAAAUCUCAAGAGCAACAGCUAGUGACUGAUUUGAUAAUUGGUAUUUAACACCAUUGUUAGAUACUUGCUUGGUAUCAACCCCAGGGUAAACUUCCUUUCAGCUAAAAAAGAUGUAGAACCCCAAGCUUUAAUGUUUAUACAGGAGUAGAAUAAGGGAAAAGCGAGGUACAGGGAGCAAUAGGUGUGUGCAAGGGUCACAGAUUACGUAUAUAAUAAUGCUGGUAAAUGUGAAGUACAGUGUUAAACAUUAGGACUGCUAAUUAUUUUGUAUGACUGGCUAACUGGAUUGCAGCCUUGAAAAAAUAUCAGACUAAGAAUCUGCUCAGCAAUAAAAACUGAAGAGAAAGGAUAAGGUAUUAAUAUUCUGGAACAACCUGCUACAUGUACUGAAGCCCUGCUUUGCAGGAACUGGGUGGACACCAUGUGCUCCUGGAAAGUAGAAAAAGUAAAUCUUUUGGAGUUUGAGGUUUUUUUGUUUUGGCUUCUGCUUUAUUAAACUCCUUUAUCUUGACCCACAAGUAUUUUUUCCAUCUAAUUCCCUUGCCCAUCCUGUUAAGGAGGGGGGUGGUAGAGCAGCUUGGUGGGCACCUGGUGUCCAGCCAAGGUCAGCAUACCACAGCUCUUACUCAGGAGAACAAAUACAGGAAUAAAAACAGACACAUUACGGAGGGAAUGUUUGCCACACUGGCUCUGUAUCUGUGUGUUUGCUUUGACAGCUUACAUAGUCUGCUGUUGCUCUCUGGUGAUUUUUAGGUGAGAAAGGAAGCUGGUAUAGAUGUGCACUGGAAAUGCAAACCUUACAUUGACAACUUCCAGCUACAAGAUAAAAAACUUAAUCUGGAGAAGCUGUAUCCUCAAGUGGAUUUUAAUUGGUACUACACCUGUUUUUACCAGAUGGUGGUGUCAAAUGAAUCUGUGUUUCUGAAGGCUUUACUCCUUAGUGUAAUGUAAAUAAGACACACAGGCAACCAUGCAAUGCCCUAAAAAUUCAAGUUUUACUUAACUUUUAAAUAACCUGGACACGAGUAUUGACACAGCCAUCUAUCAAACUCAUUUUAAAAUAAAGCACACAGUUGCUUCAUGAAUACCUACUGUACAUGGAACAAAUGUAUCACAUUGGUAUGUUCAUGUAUGUUGUCUUCAAACACCUUUCUAGGGAGUUCUGAAUUAAACAAAUCUUCCCAAAAGAAAACAUGCUAUCUCUUCAGCUCAAUAUCCACCUGUGUAAAAGGAAUGAAUUUGGCAACUUAAAUGGUAAUGACUUUGCAACAAACAUCAUCAAUAUAAUGAGCUUGAUUAGAAUACAAGUUGCAGAGUUAGUGAUACUGGUAAGAGGUGCAGUACAGAAAACAGCAGGUCCAGGCUAGUUCCAAAUGAAAGAAACCAGCCAGCUAAGCGAGGGAAUCAGUACAGGAUAUACAACAGUGCUUUUGUGCUGUGAUUAGCAAGCCCUCUUUAUUGUAUAAAAUACAUGUUUUGCAAAAGGUUGUGCAAAUAUGUUGUAAUUGUUGCUAAUUAGUGAGAGUUCUAUAACUUACCAAUGCUUAGCACUUACGGAAGUCUCAGAAGAGGUAAAGGCAGAGGCAAAUUUAAAUCGUUGGCCUGAGAUCAAUUCAGGAGAACUAGGGUGAGAAUGCCUCAAAUAACAAUCCUUUGUCCAAGUGAGCAGGGGUCUGUAUAUGGCAUUCAACCCCAGGGUAAACUUCCUGACGCUGUUAUGUAUCUCAUGUCUUUUGCCUGAUUGAUCAGGAUGUGCAAGUAUUUUACACUGACAUCCAGACUCCAAAUCUGCAAAUGUAACUGCCUCUAGGCAGUGAACGCCCCAGGAGAGCUGGGGAAGGGUGGCAGCAGUGGAGAGGGCAAGGUGUAGCUCAGAUCUGUAAGAGGCUGGUCACUUAGACAUGUAGAGCUGGUUUAGGUGUGGAAGGCAUAGCUGUGACACAGUGUUUUCAGUGAUUGAUCACUUAUGUGUAUAUCUCACAAAAAUACCAUUUAAAAGGUGCUUUUUCUCAAAUGAUUGAGGAAAUGCUUGAAGGGAAAAGAGGAUCACAUUUAUGAAAAAAAUUUGCUUUUCUGUACUAUUAGGUGACAGUGACGUCCUUAUUGCAAGUUUUGCCUUGUUUUGGCACAACAAAACAUUUGGAAAACAUGUAAUAGGAGGCAUUAUAUCUUUAGUCUUUUGUGGACACAAAACUGGAUUGUAGUGGCCCAGGCUAACAUCAGACUUGCUAAAAACCUGCUUCCUACAUAGUCUCAUGAGGGAGAAGAUCACUAACUCAAAUCUGGGGCUCUCUCCUUAAACUUCUCAUCUAAAUGCAAUAAAGUUGGCUUGAUUAUCAAACAACUCUCUAGUGACUUGAGAAUUUAAACCUUUCACUACUAGACUAGAUAGAAGCUAUUUUCUGGUGUAGUGCAAUAAGUAAAAUACCAUGCACUUGGCUGAUGUAUUUGCUUAGUAUUCAGCAAUAACAAACAAAAGGCCCACAGGACGUUGAAAGCCCACAGGAAAACAUGAGGUUGGAUAUAAACCUUCUUGAUCAAUAUUUAAAGACUGGCAAGAUAGGUACACUAUGUACAGAUAAUUCUCAUAUAAUAAUACAAAUCCUCCUGCAGAAGUAGAUACAUGCUACUUACCUAUGCCUGGGUAAAAAUAGCAAACUAAUGGUAAUGAUUAGAAAGCAGCAAACUAUAAAGCACAUGUGUAAUGUUCCAAGCUGGAACACCUCAAAGGAACAAGGAGUAGCUUUCAUUGCUGGCACUAACCAGUUCUUGUAUAGUUUGUCAU